UGCCUUUGCUCGCGUUAUCCUGAUGAUCAUUAACUUUCGCCCCUAUCUGAAAUUGAAACUUCUCCUGUUGAAUGCGAGAUUGGUCUUACUGAAAAAAUAAUGCAAGCCGAGCACAUUUGAAUAAUAUAAGAGUUUCGGCUCACUUAAUUGUCUCAAUUAUUUACUUAAAUUAUUUAACAUCAAUAGGUCGAAGGACUACUCAAAAGGCGAACUGGCACAGCAAAUGAACAUAAGUGCGACCGAAAGGAACCAUAAAAUGCUUUCCAUUAAGCUGGGUUAAUCAAAUGAUGCGGUUUAUAUGGAAUCCGAUUUGUUUACAGAGUUUCACUGUUAUUGUAAUAAUGAUGGGUUCUUUUUUAUAUUUAAAAGUUCGCAAAGCAUGUUCUUAUUUAACCAAGUUGCUGAGAACUACCCUACUGAUUUGGCGCUAUCUUAUGCUAUCCGCAUUUCAGGUACAGUCUGCUGAAGGCACUCAAUUAUAUUUUUUAAUUCCAUUCGAAACAAAAAUAAAAGUAAACAAAAUCA